AAAGAUCGUUGCACGAGCCAAAAGCUAUGCAUAUCUUGAAAUAUUAGCUACUGUAUUGUAAGAUAUGCAAGAUGUUGCAUAUUACAUCACUUAAGUCUAUCACUCUCAUAGUUGACCCUUGAAACUUGUUGAGUAGACCUCCGAAAAUUCACUUGUAAACGCGAUCAGCAGUAUCGCUCGACUUGUUAUCUAGUGAUGGGAGAUUAACGAAGAGCAUUGAUUGAGAGGAGAGAAAGUAAACCAACAAUUAAUUCAGUGUUUAUCGGUUCAGCUAGCUGGCGAGUUUCUGUGAUAAAUUAAGUGAGCUUCUAAUUUUCAGUUUUACCUUAAUAAUGUCACCGCGAAGAAUAAUUUACACAGAGGCGGCUCCAAAGCCCAUUGGGCCCUACAGCCAGGCCGUUUUGAUUGAUAAGACUCUUUACAUAUCUGGAAUUACGGGAAAUGCCCUGCUUCCGGUAAAUUAGUAUCAGGGGGUGUAGUUGAGCAAGCAAGACAACUUUUCAAAAAUAUGGCUGCCAUCUUAAAAGAGGCAGGCGGAGACUUUAGCAAUGACUUCAAGGAACCGCAUCCAGCCCGAUCAUGUUUCCAAGUAGUUAAAAACCCUCUCGUAAGUUUUAUGUUAAAAUCGUCCCUUUUGAAUUCCAAAAAAAUUCAAAGAAUUAAUUUCAAAAUCAUGGAAUUUCAAUUAUUUUAAUUUGCGAAGAAUUUGAGAGUCUGAAGUAUCCAUAUCGAUGACUGAAGCGGAAAAAUCGUAUCUCAAUUAUUGCAACGCUUCAAAAUGAUCGAUCGUUCCGAUUUUACAAUUGAUUAUUUUUUCUAAUUUUUUUUUUUAUUUUAGAAAAAAACCAACUGUAAUAUCUAUAUGAAAUUUCUAGUGGACGUUUUUAAUUGAGUGAAACAUAUUUGCAAAAAAUAAUUUUAGGGAAAACCUUCUUUUCUUGUUUUUAUCUCUAUACCUGACAACAAAAUAAAAUAUGAGGGGAGAUAUGCAAUGCCUCAGUCGGUGAUGCGUAUUUGUCAACUAUAGCCAUCAAUAUUGAGGGUAUCAUUUAAGAUAUGUUUAAUAAAGUUUGUUCUCUUCCAUUUACUGCAUGGACUCGGCGAGUCGGGAGAUGAAUACUCCAUCGAUAAAACUUUAACUCACUCCGACAAGGAAAAAAGUCUCCUCCAAGGUUCUGCGUGACUCCGAGAAGAAUAUUUAAUACGCCAAGAAAGCGCUGAAUUUUAUCGAGUGAAAUUUUAGUCGCGAUACAAAAGUUUUCUUAUUAUGAUAAAAUUUUCUGGUCGUUACUUUUGUAAAAAAUUCAAUCAACAUGGCGCAAAAAAUCGUUUGAACGGCGCAAUGGUAUCUUCUUGAUCUAAUCAUAUUAUAAUUUCAAAGCCUUGUUUUGUAUAGAAGUUGCAUAGUUUUCUUAAGCGCUCAGCCGAUAAGCAGCGCUUUUUGAUUUCGACUUGCCUCUAGAGUACUAGUAUACUAGUGCUAAUUCGUUUAAG
rnacentral:lncRNA from 1 species